rnacentral:tRNA from 1 species
GCACCUUUAGCUCAGCUGGAUAGAGUAUUGGCUUCCGAAGCCAAGGGUCGCAGGUUCGAAUCCUGCAAGGUGCG